GACGAACGCUGGCGGCGUGCUUAACACAUGCAAGUCGAGCGGUAAGGCCCUUUCGGGGGGUACACGAGCGGCGAACGGGUGAGUAACACGUGGGUGACCUGCCCUCAGCUCUGGGAUAAGCCUGGGAAACCGGGUCUAAUACUGGAUAUGACUCCAUGACGCAUGUUGUGGGGUGAAAGCCUUGUGCGGCUGAGGAUGGGCCCGCGGCCUAUCAGCUUGUUGGUGGGGUGANGGCCUACCAAGGCGACGACGGGUAGCCGGCCUGAGAGGGCGACCGGCCACACUGGGACUGAGACACGGCCCAGACUCCUACGGGAGGCAGCAGUGGGGAAUCUUGCGCAAUGGGCGAAAGCCUGACGACGGCGACGCCGCGUGAGGGAUGACGGCCU
rnacentral:rRNA from 1 species